GCUGGCGAGAGAAGGGGGAGAGGCUACCUGUCGCGCCGGCGGGAGAAGGGGGAAAUGAGGCCAGCGGGAGAGUGGGAGAGAAGGAGGGGGAGUCGUUGUCAUCGUCUCCCAGUGAAACCCCAAGCGCGUUGUCGUUGUCCUCUUCCAGCCUACUUC
rnacentral:misc_RNA from 1 species